GGUGNRCGGGCGGUGUGUACAAGGYCCSGGAACGUAUUCACCGCGGCAUGCUGAUCCGCGAUUACUAGCGAUUCCAGCUUCAUGUAAGCGAGUUGCAGCCUACAAUCCGAACUGAGAACGGUUUUAUGGGAUUGGCUAAACCUCGCGGUCUUGCUGCCCUUUGUACCGUCCAUUGUAGCACGUGUGUAACCCAAGUCAUAAGGGGCAUGAUGAUUUGACGUCAUCCCCACCUUCCUCCGGUUUGUCACCGGCAGUCAUCUUARAGUGCCCAACUGAAUGCUGGCAACUAAGAUCAAGGGUUGCGCUCGUUGCGGGACUUAACCCAACAUCUCACGACACGAGCUGACGACAACCAUGCACCACCUGUCACUCUGUCCCCCGAAGGGGAAAGCCCUAUCUCUAGGGUUGUCAGAGGAUGUCAAGACCUGGUAAGGUUCUUCGCGKUGCUUCGAAUUAAACCACAUGCUCCACCGCUUGUGCGGGCCCCCGUCAAUUCCUUUGAGUUUCAGUCUUGCGACCGUACUCCCCAGGCRGRAGUGCUUAAUGCGUUAGCUGCAYCACUAAGGGGCGGAAACCCCCUAACACUUAGCACUCAUCGUUUUACGGCGKGGACUACCAGGGUAUCUAAUCCKGUUUGCUCCCCACGCUUUCGCGCCUCAGKGUCAGUUACAGAACCAAAAAAGUCGCCUUCGCCACUGGGWGUUCCCUCCAAAUAUCUACGCCAUUUUCACCGCUACACUUGGAAUUCCACUUUCCUCUUCUGCACUCAAGUUCCCCMAGUUUCCAAUGACCCUCCACGGUUGAGCCGUGGGCUUUCACAUCAGACUUAAGAAACCACCUGCGCGCGCUUUACGCCCAAUAAUUCCGGACAACGCUUGCCACCUACGUAUUACCGCGGCUGCUGGCACGUAGUUAGCCGUGGCUUUCUGGUUAGGUACCGUCAAGGUACCKCCCUAUUCGAACGGUACUUGUUCUUCCCUAACAACAGAGUUUCUACGAUCCGAAAACCUUCAUCACUCACGCGGCGUUGCUCCGUCAGACUUUCGUCCAUUGCGGAAGAUUCCCUACUGCUGCCUCCCGUAAGAGUCUGGGCCGUGUCUCAGUCCCAGUGUGGSCGAUCACCCUCUCAGGUCGGCUACRCAUCGUCGCCCUUGGAGAGNCGUUUACCUCACCAACUAGCUUAAUGCCGCCGCGGGUCCCAUCUGGUANGUGAUAGCUAAAAGCCACCUUUUCAACNUUN
rnacentral:rRNA from 1 species